UUAGAUGUAAAUAAAAUUUACCAGAGUACUACGAACCAAAUUUAAAACUCAAAGAGCUUGGCGGUGCCUUAGACUUUUCAGGGGAACCUGUCUCAUAAUCGACAAUCCACGAACAACCUCACCCUUAGCAGUAUGUAUACCGUCGUCGCCAGGUAACUUCUAAAAAUAUAACAGUUAGCUAGUUUUUACGUCAGAUCAAGGUGCAGCCUAUAAAAGGGAGAAGAUGGGUUACAAUUAAAAUUUAUAACUACGGAUAGUGGCCAAUGAAGGAGGACUUGAAAGUAAAAGUUAGUAAUCAAAUGCUUUGAAUUAAGCUCUGAGGCG
rnacentral:rRNA from 1 species